CGUGACGUCAGCGCGUACGCAAGGCGUCUCCGCCGCACUGUUCUCUCCCCCCGGAUCUUCCACACAGCGUUGUCUUCUGAGCCAGCUGACCUAAGAGGCAGCUGUUAGGUGGCGAUAUGGGAACUCAGCGUUUUCCAUCAAAACCGGAGAGGACUAGGAAAAGAUGAUCUCCACCCACCUUGAACUUCCUCAGUGGCCUGACUACCCUCCAUUAGAAUGCAAGGACCAAAAUAAAAGGUGUUCUAUUUGGCAGUUUUGGGAUUACCUGGCCU
rnacentral:lncRNA from 1 species